AGCUCCAAUAGCGUAUAUUUAAGUUGUUGCGGUUAAAAAGCUCGUAGUUGGAUUUCGGGAGGGUACCACCGGUCCGCCAUUGGUGAGUACUGGUGCGGCCUCUUUACUGGUGGUGACGGCGUUCUGGGGUUUGUUCCUCGGGAGUCGGAGUCACCGAUGUUACUUUGAGUAAAUUAGAGUGUUCAAAGCAGGCGAUCGCUGUGAAUACGAUAGCAUGGGAUAACACGAUAGGACUCUGGCCUAUCUUGUUGGUCUGUGGGACCGGAGUAAUGAUUAAGAGGGACAGUCGGGGGCAUUCGUAUUUCAUGGUCAGAGGUGAAAUUCUUGAAUUCAUGAAAGACGAACAUCUGCGAAAGCAUUUGCCAAGGAUGUUUUCA
rnacentral:rRNA from 1 species